rnacentral:rRNA from 1 species
GACGAACGCUGGCGGCGUGCUUAACACAUGCAAGUCGAACGGAAAGGCCCUGCUUGCAGGGUACUCGAGUGGCGAACGGGUGAGUAACACGUGGGUGAUCUGCCCUGCACUUCGGGAUAAGCCUGGGAAACUGGGUCUAAUACCGGAUAGGAGCCAUUUUUAGUGUGAUGGUUGGAAAGUUUUUUCGGUGUAGGAUGAGCUCGCGGCCUAUCAGCUUGUUGGUGGGGUAAUGGCCUACCAAGGCGGCGACGGGUAGCCGGCCUGAGAGGGUGGACGGCCACAUUGGGACUGAGAUACGGCCCAGACUCCUACGGGAGGCAGCAGUGGGGAAUAUUGCACAAUGGGCGCAAGCCUGAUGCAGCGACGCCGCGGGGGGGAGGACGGCCUUCGGGUUGUAAACUCCUUUCGCUAGGGACGAAGCUUUUUGUGACGGUACCUAGAUAAGAAGCACCGGCUAACUACGUG